rnacentral:rRNA from 1 species
CUCCUCGCAUGGGGUGUCGGGAAAGAUUUCAUCGGUAUGGGAUGGGGUCGCGUCCUAUCAGGUAGUCGGCGGGGUAACGGCCCACCGAGCCUACGACGGGUAGCCGGCCUGAGAGGGCGACCGGCCACAUUGGGACUGAGAUACGGCCCAGACUCCUACGGGAGGCAGCAGUGGGGAAUAUUGCACAAUGGGCGCAAGCCUGAUGCAGCGACGCCGCGUGCGGGAUGACGGCCUUCGGGUUGUAAACCGCUUUUGAUCGGGAGCAAGCCUUCGGGUGAGUGUACCUUUCGAAUAAGCACCGGCUAACUACGUGCCAGCAGCCGCGGUAAUACGUAGGGUGCAAGCGUUAUCCGGAAUUAUUGGGCGUAAAGGGCUCGUAGGCGGUUCGUCGCGUCCGGUGUGAAAGUCCAUCGCUUAACGGUGGAUCUGCGCCGGGUACGGGCGGGCUGGAGUGCGGUAGGGGAGACUGGAAUUCCCGGUGUAACGGUGGAAUGUGUAGAUAUCGGGAAGAACACC